rnacentral:rRNA from 1 species
AUUGAACGCUGGCGGCAGGCCUAACACAUGCAAGUCGAGCGGAUGAAGGGAGCUUGCUCCUGGAUUCAGCGGCGGACGGGUGAGUAAGGCCUAGGAAUCUGCCUGGUAGUGGGGGAUAACGUCCGGAAACGGGCGCUAAUACCGCAUACGUCCUGAGGGAGAAAGUGGGGGAGCUUCGGACCUCACGCUAUCAGAUGAGCCUAGGUCGGAUUAGCUAGUUGGUGGGGUAAAGGCCUACCAAGGCGACGAUCCGUAACUGGUCUGAGAGGAUGAUCAGUCACACUGGAACUGAGACACGGUCCAGACUCCUACGGGAGGCAGCAGUGGGGAAUAUUGGACAAUGGGCGAAAGCCUGAUCCAGCCAUGCCGCGUGUGUGAAGAAGGUCUUCGGAUUGUAAAGCACUUUAAGUUGGGAGGAAGGGCAGUAAGUUAAUACCUUGCUGUUUUGACGUUACCAACAGAAUAAGCACCGGCUAACUUCGUG